CCUACAGUAAGUUACAAAAGGUACAAAAGGAUGCAAAAUACGUUUAUAUUGAGCAUGUCUGUAUCCAUGCUUCACUUCUCUAAUGGUGGACCUAAAGCAAGUUGUGCAUUGCAAUAUGUGUAGGAUUGAUGAGAUUAUAAACUGUUUGAUCACUGUGUUUUUCAGGUUUUACUCUGCACUGGUGCAGCCUCACACUGAGUACUGUGUGUAGGCUGCAGAGUGAGUGACAGAACAAAAAGCAGCUGACCUCUUCAUUUAUGGCAAUGCUGGGAAGUGAGGCAGGGGAAGCAAGGGAGGACCGGAAGCUGCUGAAUUUCUCUCAAUCAAGUGAAUAAUAUUCACUGGCCACAUCAUUAAAUGAUCUCUUCUCCACUAAAGACUCAUUGGAUAUGUACAUGAGAACUGGGUGCGUUCCUUGGAUGCUAUCACUUGAAAAACUUGCAGUUUCUUCUGCAGAGAGAAGCCUCAUCCCACCUCCUCUGUCAUGAACACCCUUCCAAGAAGUGAAGGCCAUUGUAAGAGCUGCUGUUUUUUGACCUGGCUGUGCAGUAUGUGCAAACAGAGAGAGAGAUUCAUCAAGAGAAGUCAGAAGUCUGUAGUUACAAGGAUGAAACUAGAAUUUAAAAAGCAACACAGUGCUGAAGGAUGUGUUUAAAAUGCAAUCCAAGGUAAAUGCAGAACUUGUACUAUCUGACAUCAAAAUCAUAUUAUGUUGCCCUUGUGUGCUCUGAAGUAGCAGAGAUUUCAAGAUAUUUCCAGUGACUUCUGGCAGAUUUAGCUUAUGAGCAGUUUGUCUAUGACCACGGAUAAAAACAACAGCCUUAACUAAUCUAUGCAGUCUUCCAGAGAGUUCCUGAGAACAUUACAGUAGCAAUAAGCGCAGUGCACACAGGCCAUGGUAGGAGGCCUUCAGAAAUAUAAGUCAUGAUGUUGGAAUUGCCAUGGAGCCCAGGUGGGUAGAUAAGUUAAAAUAUUUUGUUGUGGCAUUGUAGCUAGCAUCUAGGCUUUAGAUGCACAUUUUGGCCUUGCCCUGGGCCGCCCUCAGCAGAGCGCCCCCUGCCGUCCGCCCCAGAGCAGCGCCCAACCGCGGGCCGGCUCCCUGCUGCCCGUGGCCGCCGCGUGACCCGACUGAGGCGGGCACGGCCGCCCCCUUCCCACGGCAGCCCGAGGCUUUCGAG
rnacentral:lncRNA from 1 species